GUCGUUAAAAUGAACAGACAACUGACGAAUGAUCUCAAAUGGAUUAUGAAAGAAUCACAUGGAGAAAAGGAAGUUUCUAGAAUACUCAGACUCUUAAAACAGGAUGUCAAAGGAAUAUGCGGUAUGUCAGUUGUUAAGGACUGCACUGACGUUCAAAAGACAAAACAGAAAUCAGGAG